rnacentral:rRNA from 1 species
AACGCGAAGAACCUUACCUGGGCUCGAAAUGCAGAGGGAGAUGCCAGAAAUGGCUUCGUCCGCAAGGACUUCUGUAUAGGUGCUGCAUGGCUGUCGUCAGCUCGUGCCGUGAGGUGUUUGGUUAAGUCCAGCAACGAGCGCAACCCUUAUCAUUAGUUGCCAACACGUAAGGUGGGGACUCUAAUGAGACUGCCUAGGUUAACUAGGAGGAAGGCGAGGAUGACGUCAAGUCCGCAUGGCCUUUAUGUCCAGGGCUACACACGUGCUACAAUGGUCGGUACAGAGGGCUGCAAGACCGUAAGGUGGAGCAAAUCCCAGAAAGCCGAUCUCAGUUCAGAUUGUGGACUGCAACUCGUCCACAUGAAGUCGGAAUUGCUAGUAAUGGCGUGUCAGCAACAACGCCGUGAAUACGUUCCCGGGCCUUGUA